GACGUAGGGGGCGAGCGUUGUCCGGAUUUAUUGGGCGUAAAGCGUGCGUAGGCGGCUGCGCAAGUCGGUUGUGAAACCCCGGGGCUCAACCCCGGAACUGCAUCCGAUACUGCGUGGCUAGAGGUAGGUAGGGGAGAUCGGAAUUCCUGGUGUAGCGGUGAAAUGCGCAGAUAUCAGGAGGAACACCAGUGGCGAAGGCGGUGCUCUGGGCCGGAACUGACGCUGAGGAGCGAAAGCGUGGGGAGCAAACAGG
rnacentral:rRNA from 1 species